rnacentral:rRNA from 1 species
CGCGUGGGAAUCUACCUAGUAGUGGGGGAUAGCCAGGAGAAAUCCUGAAUAAUACCGCAUACGCCUACGGGGAAAGGAGGCCUCUUCUUGAAAGGUCUCACUAUUAGAUGAGCCCGCGUUAGAUUAGCUAGAUGGUGAGGUAAGAGCUCACCAUGGCGACGAUCUAUAGCUGGUCUGAGAGGAUGAUCAGCCACAUUGGGACUGAGACACGGCCCAGACUCCUACGGGAGGCAGCAGUGGGGAAUAUUGGACAAUGGGCGCAAGCCUGAUCCAGCAAUACCGCGUGUGUGAAGAAGGCCC